rnacentral:lncRNA from 10 species
UUCUCUGCGUGGGACGGAACCCACGGGAGGGUAUUGAGUAGAUCACUGAGAAAAAUCUGACUUCUAAGACAGGGGUUUGCAGAUGACCCUGUUUUUGUAAAUAAAGUUUUAUCAGUACGCAGGCAUUCAUGUAAGUGUCGACUGUGACUGCGUUCAGAAUAGCAGCAGCGGAGUUGCGUGGUUAUGACGCAAGCGACCUGGCCUUCAAAGCCAGAAUCGUCUUUACUCUCUGGCUGCUAAUAAGACACGUUUUUUCUUUUCUUUUCUUUUUCUUUUUUUUUUUUUUUUUUGAGAUGGAGUCUCGCUCUUAUUGCCCAGGCUGGAGUGCAAUGGCGCAAUCUCAGCUCACUCCAACCUCCACCUCCUGGGUUCAAGUGAUUCUCCUGCCUCAGCCUCCUGAGUAGCUGGGAUUACAGGCACCCACCACCAUGCCCAGCUAAUUUUUUUGUAUUUUUAGUAGAGACAGGGUUUCACCAUGUUGGCCAGGCUGGUCUCGAACUCGUGACCUCAGGUAAUCCUUGGACACAGGAGACCAACUAGGAGGUGCCUGGAGUAAAUCAGGAGAGAUAGUGGUAAGUUCUGUGAAAAACGUAACCCAGAUAAGGGGGCCCAGUGAGGGUGAGCGUGGGGUCUCUCUGUGUCUAAAUUACUUAGCGAAGUGAUUGGAGCCUUAUGAGUCCCAGUUCAUUAGCUG